ensembl:misc_RNA 7SK 7SK RNA
GGGUGUGAGGGCCAUUUGGCUGUGACACCCAGCACCCCUUUGAUCAGCAGGGUUGAUUCAGCUGAUCUGGCUGGCUAGGAAUUAUCUCCUUUCCUCGGCACUCUACUUGUGUCCCUCCCGAAGCUGUGGGCUUGAUCAAAGAGGAUGAUCUUCCUGGGUAGUGACUUCGGUCAAAGGUAUAUGAGUAACUGUGUUCCCUAGCUAGAACCUCCAAACAAGCUCUCAAGGCCCAAACUGAUGGCCAUGUACAUGUGGAGGGUGGGGGCCGUGGGGAAGUUGACAUAGCAGGAGACCCACU